GACGAACGCUGGCGGCGUGCUUAACACAUGCAAGUCGUACGGUAAGGCCCUUUCGGGGGUCCACGAGUGGCGAACGGGUGAGUAACACGUGAGUAACCUGCCCACAACUUUGGGAUAACGCUAGGAAACUGGUGCUAAUACUGGAUAUGUGCUCCUGCUGCAUGGUGGGGGUUGGAAAGCUCCGGCGGUUGUGGAUGGACUCGCGGCCUAUCAGCUUGUUGGUGGGGUAGUGGCCUACCAAGGCGGCGACGGGUAGCCGGCCUGAGAGGGUGACCGGCCACAUUGGGACUGAGAUACGGCCCAGACUCCUACGGGAGGCAGCAGUGGGGAAUAUUGCACAAUGGGCGCAAGCCUGAUGCAGCAACGCCGCGUGCGGGAUGACGGCCUUCGGGUUGUAAACCGCUUUCAGCAGGGACGAAGCUUUUUGUGACGGUACCUGCAGAAGAAGCACCGGCUAACUACGCG
rnacentral:rRNA from 1 species